AGCUGGUGGCCACAGCUUCCCUGUAGUCCUCUAACAAGAGACCGCUGACAAAAAAAAAAAAAAUCAAUCGACCAUUUGUUAUCCCCAAAACACAUUUAGGAAACAAAGCACCAUAACAACAGUCGACGUGUUAAGGUGGAGGGGCAAAAGAGGCAGACCUGAGCAGCAUUCAGCAGAGCAAGGCUCAAUCUGGAAUAGAAUGGAAUGAAAUGAAAGAUGAUCUGGACAUGUAUUCAGUUGACAGCUCUCCAGACAGUGAUGAUGAGGGUGUCAACAAGAAACAAAGAAGAAAAAGAAGCUGACGAAAAUGAAGAAGAAGAGCUCCAGCUCAUCAUCAUCUUCUUCCUCUUCCUCUUCUUCCUCCUCCAGUAGCUCCUCAGAGAGUGAUAGCGAAG